UGGGGGAUAUUGCACAAUGGGCGAAAGCCUGAUGCAGCGACGCCGCGUGGGGGAUGAAGGCCUUCGGGUUGUAAACUUCUUUUGCUCUGAACAAGGCGCACCAUGGGGUGUGUUGAGUGUAGGGGUUGAUUAGCGCCGGCUAACUACGUGCCAGCAGCCGCGGUAAUACGUAGGGCGCGAGCGUUGUCCGGAAUUAUUGGGCGUAAAGGGCUUGUAGGUGGCUGGUUGCGUCUGUCGUGAAAGCUCAUGGCUUAACUGUGGGUUUGCGGUGGGUACGGGCUGGCGUGAGUGCAGUAGGGGAGGCUGGAAUUCCUGGUGUAGCGGUGGAAUGCGCAGAUAUCAGGAGGAAUACCGGUGGCGAAGGCGGGUCUCUGGGCUGUUACUGACACUGAGGAGCGAAAGCAUGGGGAGCGAACAGG
rnacentral:rRNA from 1 species